GGGAACCGAGGCUGACAAAUUUCUAGAACUACUAGAAGAGGAGAUAUCAGAGGAUAUUUUGGAUCAAAUGGAAGCCACAAAAAUCCCAAGAAAUUGGGAAAAAUAGCAAACAGGCCCCCGAGAAAGCUAAAUAAACAGAAUACGAAGAAGAAAGGAUGGGAAAACAAUAGAAAGUUUCGGAACUAACCUAGAUUGACCCCAGGAGCACAGGGAGACGGCGAGGAUGAUGGAGGUCGACCCGGAGGAUGCCUA
rnacentral:lncRNA from 1 species